UAUUAACUUGGGGUAUAUUUCUUAGUUUCUCUGGGGCCUGGUGUUCUCAUCAGUGAAAUGAGUGUCAUACCUGAUCUGUGUUUUAGUGAGAGCAUCGAACGUGAAGCAAGCAAACUGCCCAGCAGAAUUCCUGAUGCUCACUAAGUGAUGCAGCCUGCUGUCGUGGUAUAUAUUUUAUCCAACCAAGUGUCAUGGACUUUAGUCACAGAGGUUCUAUCAGUGGUUGGCAAGUCAGUGUAUAAAAGUCUUCCCGGCAUGAAAAAUUUGGGGGCAGGUUGGCCUCUGACCCUUUAAUUGCACGCACAGCCUAGGAGCAAGGAGAGGAAACGUGGACAGGGAAGGAAAUUUUCCUGUUUUAACCGAAAGUAAAUGUAACCUGUUUCUAUAAUAGCAGCAACUAAUGUAGAAGCCAGCCAUGAUAGAGGCAGCGGGCGCUCCAGCAACAAGAACAGCAUCACCAAGGGACUACACUCAGCAUUUCAGCAUCAAGCUGCCAUAGCUCUGAACUGUUAUCUCCCCAGGACAAAGCCAAGGCAAGUGCUCGGAUGUAAUUUGAUCAUUGGAUGAACUCACGAUCUGAGAAGAUAAAGACUUGCUUCAGAAAUUCAGACUGCUACACACCAAAAUCUCUGCACAGUUUUGUUUUAUGCUUGGUUGCCACUGCUUAAAAAGUUUUCCUAACCACAGAGAAAAGAAGUGAUAACAAAAUGGUUUCUUCUGAUGGGCACUCUGGGUCCUUUGGUCUGUUAGGUGAACACUCAGGUCAUUAAGUCCCGAGUCCAGUGAGUUACAGGACCACUGCCAGGGCCAAGGUACAACCAGCCCUCUGCCCACACUGUGUGGAUAUGCACAACAUCUGCAUCAAAAGGUCUCCUUUGGGACAUCAUGCCUGAAUCAUGAGAGACCCUGAGUGAUUAGGAAAAGUGUAUAUUCUCUUCACUGUACUGCAUCCUCCUGGGACAGUAAUUCACCCGAGAGUGUUCGUCCACACAUCCCUCCAGGCCCGGCACGUGCUAGGGCUGCAAGAGAAGUUUCUUGAGAGGCGUUUACCAAUGGCAAGAAAUACAUUCAUUAUGUAAAAUGGGAGUAAGUCUGUACACUUAAGGCUCACCCAAUCUUCAAUUACAAAAUUUUAGCUUAAGUGGUAGGUAAAACACAAACCUCAAAAACCUAAGACCAUAAUAAACAUGAAGCAGUAAUUAUUCUACAUUUUGUUGAGCCAUGAUCUGGCUUCCUCAUACGAACACCAUUUUGUCAUUUAAUAACUCAUUAUUUCUGGGUUAUACUUUGAGUAAAGUAAGAGUGAAGUGAGAGGAACUCUGCUUGCUGACUGGAACCUUCUUGAAAGAUGUGUGAUUGUUCUUAUUUCCUGAUCAAGUAAGGUCAUCAAAAAUGGAAUCUCUCUUUGUGCAUUUAUUGUGUGCUAACUUGAUAGGUACUUUGACAUGCGUUGUUUCAUUUAAUCUAUACAGCAACCCUAAA